CAGUGGCGGACGGGUGAGUACCACGUGGAUAACCUACCCCGAGGUGAGGAAUACCGGCGAGAAAUCGCUGACAAGACCGCAUAGGUUUGGUUGUACCAAACAAAGCUCGGGAAACCGAGCGCCACGGGAGGGGUCUGCGCCCGAUUAGUUGGUUGGUGGGGUAACGGCUCACCAGACGACGAUCGGUAGCUGGUCUGAGAGGAUGAUCAGCCACACUGGGAUUGAGAACGGCCCAG
rnacentral:rRNA from 1 species